UACGAGGGGAGCAAGCGUUGUUCGGAAUUAUUGGGCGUAAAGGGCGCGUAGGCGGCUUGGCAAGUGGAAGGUGAAAUCCCUCGGCUUAACCGAGGAACUGCCCUCCAAACUGCUUGGCUUGAGACCGGGAGAGGUGAGUGGAAUUCCCAGUGUAGCGGUGAAAUGCGUAGAUAUUGGGAGGAACACCAGUGGCGAAGGCGGCUCACUGGACCGGUACUGACGCUGAUGCGCGAAAGCGUGGGGAGCAAACGGG
rnacentral:rRNA from 1 species